UCAACUAUAAAGAACACAAGUGUAGAACUGGAUGCAUUAGAUCUAUCUGUUUGCUGCAGAAUAAGUAGUUACUACGGAAUAAGUAAUUACUAGAUAGUUCCAAGCCAUUGAUUACCAUGAUUAUCAAACACAAACCCCUUCGAUCGAGCGUUACAUGCUCCCUCGGAAGCUACCAUCCUUUCGCCAUAAAUACAACUCUUCCCUACUUGGAACUAACUCACCUGAAGUUUGGACGGAGCUGGGCACCUGAGCAUCCGCCGAGGCUGGCGUCAUCUUGGAAAUAAUAUACGGAGUACUCCUAAGCAUAAAGCCUCCUGUCUUCUCGGCACCCCGUACCAGGUUACUAGCAAUGAAAUCAGCCGCACUCACAAUGUGUCUGGACACCUGUUCCGAUCCGGAAACGGUAUCUGAAGCGAGGCCAGCACGUUGGGAGGUCGGAGAUUUCAGCUGCUCCACCGUGCCAGCGAGUACGGCCUCCAAUAGGUCAAGAAAGAACUGCUGAAGAUCCUCUAGUUCGUCCUCCGUGCGCGAAGUCUGGCCCUCCU